AUUGAACGCUGGCGGCAGGCUUAACACAUGCAAGUCGAGCGGGGGAAGGUAGCUUGCUACCGGACCUAGCGGCGGACGGGUGAGUAAUGCUUAGGAAUCUGCCUAUUAGUGGGGGACAACAUCUCGAAAGGGAUGCUAAUACCGCAUACGUCCUACGGGAGAAAGCAGGGGAUCUUCGGACCUCGCGCUAAUAGAUGAGCCUAAGUCUGAUUAGCGAGUUGGUGGGGUAAAGGCCUACCAAGGCGACGAUCUGUAGCGGGUCUGAGAGGAUGAUCAGCCACGCUGGGACUGAGACACGGCCCAGACUCCUACGAGAGGCAGCAGUGGGGAAUAUUGGACAAUGGGGGGAACCCUGAUCCAGCCAUGCCGCGUGUGUGAAGAAGGCCUUAUGGUUGUAAAGCACUUUAAGCGAGGAGGAGGCUACUUUAGUUAAUACCUGGAGAUAGUGGACGUUACUCGCAGAAUAAGCACCGGCUAACUCUGUGCCAGCCGCCGCAGUAA
rnacentral:rRNA from 1 species